GUGAAGCUGGAUUCGCAGUAAUCGCGCAUCAGCCAUGGCGCGGUGAAUACGUUCCCGGGCCUUGUACACACCGCCCGUCAAGCCAUGGAAGCCGGGGGCGCUUGAAGUGCGUUGCCGCAAGGCGCGCCCUAGAGCGAAACCGGUGACUGGGGCUAAGUCGUAACAAGGUAAC
rnacentral:rRNA from 1 species